rnacentral:rRNA from 1 species
CCUACGGGCGGCACCAGCGGGGAAUAUUGCACAAUGGGCGCAAGCCUGAUGCAGCCAUACCGCGUGUGUGAAGAAGGCCUUCGGGUUGUAAAGCACUUUCAGCGGGGAGGAAGGCGGUGAGGUUAAUAACCUCAUCGAUUGACGUUACCCGCAGAAGAAGCACCGGCUAACUCCGUGCCAGCAGCCGCGGUAAUACGGAGGGUGCAAGCGUUAAUCGGAAUUACUGGGCGUAAAGCGCACGCAGGCGGUCUGUCAAGUCGGAUGUGAGAUCCCCGGGCUCAACCUGGGAACUGCAUUCGAAACUGGCAGGCUAGAGUCUUGUAGAGGGGGGUAGAAUUCCAGGUGUGGCGGUGAAAUGCGUAGAGAUCUGGAGGAAUACCGGUGGCGAAGGCGGCCCCCUGGACAAAGACUGACGCUCAGGUGCGAAAGCGUGGGGAGCAAACAGGAUUAGAUACCCUCGUAGUC